GGGAGCGGCGGACGGGUGAGUAACACGUGGGAAUGUACCUUUCGGUGCGGAACAACUCAGGGAAACUUGAGCUAAUGCCGCAUACGCCCUUACGGGGAAAGAUUUAUCGCCGAAAGAUCAGCCCGCGUUGGAUUAGCUUGUUGGUGAGGUAAUGGCUCACCAAGGCGACGAUCCAUAGCUGGUUUGAGAGAACGACCAGCCACACUGGGACUGAGACACGGCCCAGACUCCUACGGGAGGCAGCAGUUGGGAAUCUUGGACAAUGGGGGAAACCCUGAUCCAGCCAUGCCGCGUGAGUGAUGAAGGCCUUCGGGUUGUAAAACUCUUUCGACGGGGACGAUAAUGACGGUACCCGUAGAAGAAGCUCCGGCUAACUUCGUGCCAGCAGCCGCGGUAAUACGAAGGGGGCUAGCGUUGUUCGGAAUUACUGGGCGUAAAGCGCGCGCAGGCGGCUAUCCAAGUCAGUGGUGAAAGCCCGGAGCUCAACUCCGGAAUUGCCAUUGAAACUGUUUAGCUCGAGUACGAGAGAGGUGAGUGGAAUUCCCAGUGUAGAGGUGAAAUUCGUAGAUAUUGGGAAGAACACCGGUGGCGAAGGCGGCUCACUGGCUCGUAACUGACGCUCAAGCGCGACAGCGUGGGGAUCAAACAGGAUUAGAUACCCUGGUAGUCCACGCCGUAAACGAUGAACGCUAGCCGUUGGCCAGCUUGCUGGUCAGUGGCGCAGCUAACGCAUUAAGCGUUCCGCCUGGGGAGUACGGCCGCAAGGUUGAAACUC
rnacentral:rRNA from 1 species